rnacentral:rRNA from 1 species
UACGUAGGGGGCGAGCGUUGUCCGGAAUUAUUGGGCGUAAAGGGCUCGUAGGCGGUCUGUCACGUCGGGAGUGAAAACUCAGGGCUUAACCCUGAGCCUGCUUCCGAUACGGGCAGACUAGAGGUAUGCAGGGGAGAACGGAAUUCCUGGUGUAGCGGUGAAAUGCGCAGAUAUCAGGAGGAACACCGGUGGCGAAGGCGGUUCUCUGGGCAUUACCUGACGCUGAGGAGCGAAAGUGUGGGGAGCGAACAGG